CAGCCGCCGCGGGAAUACGAAGGGUGCAAGCGUUACUCGGGAUUACUGGGCGUAAAGCGUGCGUAGGUGGUGGUUUAAGUCCGUUGUGAAAGCCCUGGGCUCAACCUGGGAAUUGCAGUGGAUACUGGGCCACUAGAGUGUGGUAGAGGAUAGUGGAAUUUCCGGUGUAGCAGUGAAAUGCGUAGAGAUCGGAAGGAACAUCUGUGGCGAAGGCGACUAUCUGGGCCAACACUGACACUGAGGCACGAAAGCGUGGGGAGCAAACAGGAUUAGAUACCCCUGUAGUCCCUGUCUCUUAUAA
rnacentral:rRNA from 1 species